rnacentral:rRNA from 1 species
GACGAACGCUGGCGGCGUGCCUAAUACAUGCAAGUCGAGCGAGGAGACGCGGUGCUUGCACCUAUGAUGUUAGCGGCGGACGGGUGAGUAACACGUGGGUAACCUGCCUAUCAGAGGGGGAUAACAUCCGGAAACGGAUGCUAAUACCGCAUAAAAAGUUGAACCGCAUGGUUUAAAGAUGAAAGAAGGCAUUGCUGUCCCCUAAGGUUGGCUCCGGGUGUCAUUAAGAAGUUGGUAAGGUAAAGGCCUACCAAGGGACGGUAGCAUAGCCGACCUGAGAGGGUGAUCGCCCACAUUGGAACUGAGACACGGCCCAAACUCCUACGGGAGGCAGCAGUAGGGAAUCUUCCGAAAUGGGCGAAAGCCUGACGGAGCAACGCCGCGUGAGUGAAGAAGGUUUUCGGAUCGUAAAACUCUGUUGUUAGGGAAGAACAAGUGCUGAAGUAACUGUUCACGUCUUGACGGUACCUAAUCAGAAAGCCACGGCUAACUACGUG